GAAGGUAGAGCUCAGUGGUAGAGUGUGUGCUUGGCAUGCAGGAGGUCCGGAGUUCAAUUCUCGGUACCUCCA
rnacentral:tRNA from 1 species